rnacentral:rRNA from 1 species
AUUGAACGCUGGCGGCAGGCCUAACACAUGCAAGUCGAACGGUAGCACAGAGAGCUUGCUCUCGGGUGACGAGUGGCGGACGGGUGAGUAACGUCUGGGAAACUGCCCGAUGGAGGGGGAUAACUACUGGAAACGGUAGCUAAUACCGCAUAACGUCGCAAGACCAAAGUGGGGGACCUUCGGGCCUCACACCAUCGGAUGUGCCCAGAUGGGAUUAGCUAGUAGGUGGGGUAAUGGCUCACCUAGGCGACGAUCCCUAGCUGGUCUGAGAGGAUGGCCAGCCACACUGGAACUGAGACACGGUCCAGGCUCCUACGGGAGGCAGCAGUGGGGAAUAUUGCACAAUGGGCGCAAGCCUGAUGCAGCCAUGCCGCGUGUAUGAAGAAGGCCUUCGGGUUGUAAAGUACUUUCAGCGGGGAGGAAGGCGGUGAAGUUAAUAGCUUCACCGAUUGACGUUACCCGCAGAAGAAGCACCGGCUAACUCCGUGCCAGCAGCCGCCGCCG